CUGACGUGGGGCUCCAUCCCACAACCCUCAGAUCACCACCUGAGCUGAAACCAAGAGUCGGAUGUUUAACCAACUGCACCACCAAAGCACCUCCAGAUGCUGAAUGUUUAAACAGUAGCAACAGUUGAACUGAUUUAAUUAAAUCAUCUGCUAUCUCAUUCCCUCCUGUACAUCCACAAAUAAAGAGAAAUAAUUUCAGAAUGCCUGAAAUUAGAUUUACCCCAGUACUGGGACCUGAAGUUGCCUCCACAGGAUGUUCUGUUUUUUAAAUUCAGACUCCAGUCACUUUCUUUCAGGUAGCUCUUACUGCCAAUAAGGCUCUGGGAAAAUAAUCCCCAGGAAAGCAAUCUGUAAGUAUAUAUGGGAUAAAGACAAUAAUGACACCUGUUCCUUACCUACCUGGCACAAGUGUUGGGAAACAACCAGAUAAGGUCUAUUAUGUACUUUGAAUGCCUAGAAAGAAGAUAAGGUUUACAUGCAAAGGUGUAAUUAUACUGAGACAGCACAACAUUAUCGUCUAUGUUUUACAUGCGAGAUUGUUGCCUAAGACACUGAGGAGCAGAAUGUGGCUCUCACAUUUGAUGUUCUAAGGACAUGAUGAUGUUACAAUAAAUUUGCAGAAGAGCCAAAGUUGAGAAGGUAAGACAUCCUCUUCUCUUAAAAAUUCCUGUAUGACUGACAUUUAUUUUAGGCUAUCUUCCCCAGCUGAUCUCACGAUGGGGACAGCCCUCAAGCACACCUUCCAUUUCUUCAUCGGUCACAUGAUUCCACUCCUAGGUAGGGUCAGGAUGCCGUGACGAGGGGUGACCCGGAGAGGAGAGAACACAUGUCCAUUUCUACCCGGGGAGUACCAAAAUUUGGAAGCCCAAAUGUUGGAUUUCUAUGGCUUCUGGAAAGUCUCUGCCCCAUGAGGUCUGUCCCCCAGAAAGCAUCCUGCCCCCCACCUAGCAGGACCACACCAGAUGACCUUUGAAUCUGUUUAAAAGAAUAAUGCCAACCAUCUGUACAGCUUCCUAUUGCUGCAACAACCAAUGACCACAUACUUGGUGGCUUAAAACAACAGAAAUCUAUUCUUUCACAUUUCUGGAGACCAGGAGUCUGAAGUCGAUUGCACAAAGUUGAAAUGAAGGCAUUGGCCGGCCAGCACUCCCUCCUGAGGCUUUGGAGAGAAUGGGUUGCUUUCUUCUUCUUCCAGCUCCUGGAAGCUACAGGCAUCCAUUGGCUUAUGGCAACAUUCACUCUAAUCUCUGCUUCCCUGGUUGCACUGCCUUCUCCUCUUCUGUCUGCUUUGCCUGUGUCUUGUGCGGAUGCUCAGGAUCACAUCUAGGGGCCACUUGGGCCAUCUCUCUAUCUCAAGAUCCUUACCUUGAUCACAUCAGUGAGGUCCCCUUUUGCCACACAAGGAGAGAGAAAAAUGGGCAAAAUGAUGGAAGAAAACUUUUGCUGAGCCCCUACCAUGUGCUCACUAAUUUACAGACACUCUUCAUGAUAAGAAAAGCUCUUGUCACCAUUUUACAGAUGAGACACAGAGGCUCAUAGAGGCCAAGUAACUUUCCAUGGCCUCCCAGCAAGCCGAAUUCCCAGGAUGCUUUCACCAGAGUGCCCUGGCUGGAACAAAACAAGGCCCUGGCCUUAGAUCUGGAGGCAGAGGUGCCCUCGCGACCCCCUCCUCCGGGCCUGCGCUAGCUGAUUUCAUGAGAACAAGACUUACUUCUCUCAGACCUUGACUUCAGGUUGCUCCAUUGGUCUAGAUACCAAAUAGGGGUGAGUCCAGAGACACCCAUCCCUCCAAUCUCUGAGUUCAAGACUUGGCUUCUUCGCACCUGCGUGACAUCAAUUAACCUGGGGAAGGUAGGCGCCCGGCUCACCCCCUCCCAUCUUCCUGCCCAAUGCACUUGGCCUCCAGAAAAUGCCUCAGGGCUGAAAAACUAUGCACAUUUCCCAGCCCAGGGUCCACCAGAUGCUCCUGGGUCCCUCUGAGUCAUCCUGGCCCCUGACGGUGGCCACUCCAUCUGACCCAACUCUGCUCUCCUUUGCUGCAGCCCCAAUCUGGUGUUCUAUCAAACCUCCUCUCACCAGGUCAUCAGUCCAUCUGCCCUCAUGUCCAGCCAUUCCGGCCCAGGAUGGCAUUUGUCAUUCUUUUCAACUCUCUGUGGAAGAUCUGGAACUUCCGAGGCUGCUGCUCAGGGGUGGACAGGAAGGAAGUGUGGCUGGCUGGCAGAGAACAGCACAUGGGUGACCCUGCUCCCCCUCCCCAGGCGUCCUCGGGCUGACACUAAAAAUAGACUCCGUUCUCCUUGGUUGCCCCUUUAUCCCCAGGGGAGAGGAGACACAGGCUUCUGGUGAGCCUGAGGGCGGACUGUCUUUCAGGAAUUACCAGAUGUUGGGGAAGGAUAAUGUGUCACUUCCUCUAACAAAUAGUCUGGGCAUCUGUGCAUUUCCUUCUGAGCCAGCUCUUUAGGGGAAUGUGAUGCAGUGAUGCUGAAGUACAGACCACUCUGGCCUCCACUCUCAGGGGUACUGGGGAAGGUGCUCUCCAAACCCUUUGGUUCCAAUCUUCCAUUAAGA